UAUACUUUAGGAGGGGCUUGCGCCAUAUUAGUUAGUUGGUAGGGUAAUGGCCUACCAAGACGAUGAUGUGUAGCUGGACUGAGAGGUUGAACAGCCACAUUGGGACUGAGACACGGCCCAAACUCCUACGGGAGGCAGCAGUAGGGAAUUUUCGGCAAUGGAGGAAACUCUGACCGAGCAACGCCGCGUGAACGACGAAGUACUUUGGUAUGUAAAGUUCUUUUAUCAAGGAAGAAAAGCAAGUGGUGAACCAUUUGUUUGCCGGUACUUGAUGAAUAAGCCCCGGCUAAUUAUGUGCCAGCAGCCGCGGUAAGACAUAAGGGGCAAGUGUUAUCCGGAAUUAUUGGGCGUAAAGGGUGCGUAGGCGGUCUAGUAAGUCAGUGGUGUAAUGGCAACGCUCAACGUUGUCCGGCUAUUGAAACUGCUAAACUUGAGUUAGAUAGAGGCGAGUGGAAUUCCAUGUGUAGCGGUAAAAUGCGUAAAUAUAUGGAGGAACACCAGAGGCGUAGGCGGCUCGCUGGGUCUUAACUGACGCUGAGGCACGAAAGCGUGGGGAGCAAACAGGAUUAGAUACCCUGGUAGUCCACGCCGUAAACGAUGAGUACUAAGUGUCGGGUUAAACCGGUACUGAAGUUAACACAUUAAGUACUCCGCCUGAGUAGUACGUACGCAAGUAUGAAACUUAAAGGAAUUGACGGGACUCCGCACAAGCGGUGGAUCAUGUUGUUUAAUUCGAAGAUACCCGAAAAACCUUACCAGGUCUUGACAUGUUUUUGCGAAACGGUAGUAAUAUCGUGGAGGUUAUCAGAAACACAGGUGGUGCAUGGUUGUCGUCAGCUCGUGUCGUGAGAUGUUAGGUUAAGUCCUAAAACGAGCGAAACCCUUAUCGUUAGUUGCCAGCACGUUAUGGUGGGGACUUUAACGAGACUGCCAGUGAUAAAUUGGAGGAAGGUGAGGAUCACGUCAAAUCAGCAUGCCCCUUAUGACCUGGGCUACAAACGUGAUACAAUGGCUGUUACAAAGGGUAGCUGAAACGCAAGUUCUUGGCCAAUCCCCAAAAACAGUCUCAGUCCGGAUUGAAGUCUGCAACUCGACUUCAUGAAGUUGGAAUCGCUAGUAAUCGCGAAUCAGCAUGUCGCGGUGAAUACGUU
rnacentral:rRNA from 1 species